CUUUCAGCAGUGGAUGUCUAGGCUCGCACAUCGAUGAAGAACGCUGCGAACUGCGAUACGUAAUGCGAAUUGCAGGAUUCAGUGAGUCAUCGAAAUUUUGAACGCAUAUUGCACUUUCGGGUUCUGCCUGGAAGUAUGUCUGUAUCAGUGUCCGUACACUAAAGUUGCCUUUCUUGCGUCGUGUAGUCGUCGCUUGGAACGAGCAGAUGUGAGGUGUCUUGCGUGGUGGUGUUUGUGCUGCUGGCGUAAAGUAGUCGUGCAAGUCCCUUUAAAGUCGGACGUGUUUUCUCUGUAGUGUGCUGUGGCAGCUUUGGUGGCAUGCGGGACGUAGUCUGUUGACGAGUCUGGCGACCUUUGGCGCUUGCAUUGUGGGGAUUCCUCGAUUGGCGGUAUGUUAGGCCUCGGCUUUGACAAUGCAGCUUAUUGUGUG
rnacentral:rRNA from 1 species